GUGGCGGACGGGUGAGUAACACGUGGGAACGUGCCCUUUGGUUCGGAACAACUCAGGGAAACUUGAGCUAAUACCGAAUGAGCCCCCUCCUUUAACCAGGGGGGUGGGAAAGAUUUAUCGCCAUUGGAGCGGCCCGCGUCUGAUUAGCUAGUUGGUGGGGUAAAGGCCCACCAAGGCUACGAUCAGUAGCUGGUCUGAGAGGAUGAUCAGCCACACUGGGACUGAGACACGGCCCAGGCUCCUACGGGAGGCAGCAGUAGGGAAUCUUGCGCAAUGGGCGAAAGCCUGACGCAGCCAUGCCGCGUGAAUGAUGAAGGUCUUAGGAUUGUAAAAUUCUUUCAGCGGGGACGAUAAUGACGGUACCCGCAGAAGAAGCCCCGGCUAACUUCGUGCCUGCAGCCGCGGUAAUACGAAGGGGGCUAGCGUUGCUCGGAAUUACUGGGCGUAAAGGGAGCGUAGGCGGAUGUUUAAGUCAGAGGUGAAAGCCCAGGGCUCAACCUUGGAACUGCCUUUGAUACUGGGCAUCUUGAGUAUGGGAGAGGUGAGUGGAACUCCGAGUGUAGAGGUGAAAUUCGUAGAUAUUCGGAAGAACACCAGUGGCGAAGGCGACUCACUGGCCCAUUACUGACGCUGAGGCUCGAAAGC
rnacentral:rRNA from 1 species